GACUCGACGGGCUUUGGGGAGCUUCCUGGCUGGGAGUGGGCGGCUCUCCUUCCACCUGUGUCCGGGCCGUGGGACUUGGGUCGCCUCCGAUGGCACGUGGCCGAGUGGCAGGUGCUUCAGCAGCGCGGGGCACACGCGUCGCAGGACCCCCGUGCCUGGCUCCUUCGGCCCUGGUGAGCGCAGAGCACCCCGGGGUUGUCCGCCGGGCGGACGCUAGGGAGGCACGUGGAGGAGACCUGGCCUCGCUGAGGGGCCUCAGCUGUGGAGCCAGUGUGGCCUCAGGUGGGGACCCUCGCAAGGCAGGGGGUGCCUGCCAGGCCAGCCCCGUGCUCUGUGGCCAGUCUCCCUCCCGCUGGCGCCUCGGCUCGCUCUGAUCCCCGCCGCGGUGGCCUGUUUGCCAGUCUCUCAGCAGACUCCUGGCGCUGCCCGGGUCGCUGGCGUCCUCACUCUCGGGCUCAGGGACGGCAGGCCUUCCUUGACGGCCUUCCCUGGAAUUUCAGCUCGCCACCUCCUGUGGCCUGUCUCCCUUUCCCGCUGAGUUUCCCCACAGCACUUUCUUCUUCUAAUGUCCUGUUUAAUAUAGGUAUUAUAGUUAAUCUUUUACUAAGAGGUGAAGUCCACAGGGAGGCUGUUUUGUGCAACGAACAGUGGCUGGCACUUACUGCGUGCCCAGGAAAUGCUGAUGGAAUGAAUGGAAGUGGUGAGCUUAGCAGCAGCUCUGCGAUACAGUGACCUUGUCACUCAGAAGUCACUGUGGACUAGCCUGCCAUGGCAGACCAGAGACAGCGCUCACUUUCUACCUCUGGGGACUCCCUGUACCACGUUCUGGGGCUGGACAAGAACGCAACCUCGGAUGACAUCAAGAAGUCCUACCGGAAGCUGGCCUUGAAAUAUCACCCUGACAAGAACCCAGAUAACCCAGAGGCCGCAGACAAGUUUAAGGAGAUAAACAACGCCCACGCCAUCCUGACGGACGCCACAAAAAGAAACAUCUACGACAAGUACGGCUCGCUGGGGCUCUAUGUGGCCGAGCAGUUCGGGGAGGAGAACGUGAACACCUAUUUCGUGCUCUCCAGCUGGUGGGCCAAGGCCCUGUUUGUCUUCUGCGGGCUCCUCACCUGCUGCUACUGCUGCUGCUGCCUCUGCUGCUGCUUCAACUGCUGCUGCGGGAAGUGCAAGCCCAAGGCGCCCGAGGGCGAGGAGACCGAGUUCUACGUGUCCCCCGAGGACCUGGAGGCGCAGCUGCAGUCCGACGAGAGGGGAGGGCACUGACACUGUGCGGGAGUGUUUGUGGUGGCGGCGGGACGGUUGAGGUGUGGACGUGGAUGAUGGAGAGGCCGCAGACACGCCGAUCGUCAUCCAGCCGGCGUCCGCCACGGAGACCACCCAGCUCACAGCCGAGUCCCACCCCAGCUACCACACCGACGGGUUCAACUAGAUUCAGGAGAAGCUGUGAUUGGAGGAUCAGUCAGCACCCAGCCACUCAACCUUAGAAUCAUGAACUGUGGUCACAGAGAUGGGGCGGGAGCCGCCCUGGCCCCAGGAGGCCGCCGACCCGCCUCUGUGCCCGCCCAUCCACCGAUCCCCAACACAUGAAGUGCGUAGCAUGCAGUAUUUAAAGCAGUUUAGCUACGGUCUUCUUCUUCUGUUGUUUCCUUUUGUAAUAGCAUGUAUGGGGUUAUGU